rnacentral:snRNA from 1 species
AAAAAGGGCUUUUGUCAUGCAGUAGCACAUGUAGGGCAACUCAAUUGCUCUUCGUGCGAAAUUGACAUGAAGAGAUUUUGGAAACAUAAUUGUUUGGUAGUUGGGCAGCUGGUGAUUGUUGGUCCUGACACAUUU